GAUGAAGAACGUAGCGAAAUGCUAUAAGUAAUGUGAAUUGCAGAAUUCAGUGAAUCAUCGAAUCUUUGAACGCACAUUGCGCCCCCUGGUAUUCCGGGGGGCAUGCCUGUUCGAGCGUCAUUUCACCACUCAAGCCUCGCUUGGUAUUGGGCAACGCGGUCCGCCGCGUGCCUCAAAUCGACCGGCUGGGUCUUCUGUCCCCUAAGCGUUGUGGAAACUAUUCGCUAAAGGGUGUUCGGGAGGCUACGCCGUAAAACAACCCCAUUUCUAAGGUUGACCUGAUCAGGUAGGGAUACCCGCUGAACUUAAGCAUAUCAAUAAGCGGAGGA
rnacentral:misc_RNA from 1 species